rnacentral:rRNA from 1 species
UACGGGGGGGCAAGCGUUGUUCGGAAUUACUGGGCGUAAAGGGCUCGUAGGUGGCCAACUCAGUCAGACGUGAAAUCCCUCGGCUUAAACCGGGGAACUGCGUCUGAUACUGGAUGGCUUGAGGUUUGGGAGAGGGAUGCGGAAUUCCAGGUGUAGCGGUGAAAUUCGUAGAUAUUCGGAAGAACACCAGUGGCGAAGGCGGCUCACUGGCCCGGUACUGACGCUGAGGUGCGAAAGCGUGGGGAGCAAAGCAGG